rnacentral:rRNA from 1 species
GACGAACGCUGGCGGCGUGCUUAACACAUGCAAGUCGAACGAAGUGGCGAACGGGUGAGUAACGCGUCAUCAACCUGCCCUUCAGAGGGGGACAACAGUUGGAAACGACUGCUAAUACCGCAUACUGAAGGAGGGGAUGGCGUCUGAUUAGCUAGUUGGAGGGGUAACGGCCCACCAAGGCGAUGAUACGUAGCCGGUUUGGGAGGAUGACCGGCCCCAAUGGGACUGGGACACGGCCCAGACUCCUACGGGAGGCAGCAGUGGGGAAUCUUCCGAAAUGGACGAAAGUCUUACGGCGCAACGCCGCGUGAGGGAUGACGGCCUUCGGGUUGUAAAGCUCUGUUAAUCGGGACGCGGUACCGGCAUAGAAAGCCACGGCUAACUACGUGCCAGCAGCCGCGGUAAUUC